AGGAGGAUGAUCUUGCUAUCGUCUUGAACUUGGCUCCUUUCGAUGCUGCCUUUUCUCUGCUGCUUCUGGACGACUUGCUUCUUUGCGCUACUACCCCUGGUAAGCUCGCGAUCUUUUUUGGGUUCUACCAACUUCCUGGAGAAUCCAAUGUUGUCUUGCUGCUGUGUGACGAUUUCUUUAGGUGUUCUGUGCAGAGACCUUGAUUUGUUCCUCGCUUCUUCUUCCGCCGCUGCUUCUUUUGUGGCCAAGGCCUGUAAGUCAUAUACGUGCCUUGCGAAAACAGAGUUUGGUUCUUGAAGAAAUUUGACCAGAAACUCUUUGUUGGAUUGCAGGAACUGGAUGGCGUCAAGCAUCUCCUUCGGCUCCCCGGGUUGACGCUUGGUGUUCGUGACUGCUUCCAAGAGUUUCUCAGGGACCGAAAUGCCAGAAUUGCCGACUUUUGCAGCUCUCUGCUUCAUCUGAAGCGAGGAGAAUUGCUCUUCCAUCUGUGACUUUCGGUGCCGCUGGGCCUGGAACUCUUGCUUCAGUUUCUCGAGCUGCUUCUCCUGUGGAUGAUCGCGAAACGGCAGCACGUCAAAGAGAAGAAACUCGUCCUGCUCUGUUCUUGGAGGCCAUUCCUUGAGCUUGGAAUUGCCGUUGCA
rnacentral:lncRNA from 1 species